rnacentral:rRNA from 1 species
CCUACGGGAGGCAGCAGUGAGGAAUAUUGGUCAAUGGGGGAAACCCUGAUGCAGCGACGCCGCGUGAGUGAAGAAGUCAUUCGUUACGUAAAGCUCUAUCAGCAGGGAAGAAAUACUGACCUUACGGUCAGCAGACGGUACCUGAGUAAGAAGCCCCGGCUCACUACGUGCCAGCAGACGCUGUAAUACGUAGGGGACAAGCGUUAUCCGGAUUUACUGGGUGUAAAGGGAGCGUAGACGGUGCGCCAAGGCUGGAGUGAAAUGCCGCAGCUUAACUGCGGAACUGAUUUGGAAACUGGCGAACUAGAGUGCGGGAGGGGUAAGCGGAAUUCCUGGUGUAGCGGUGAAAUGCGUAGAUAUUAGGAGGAACACCGGUGGCGAAGGCGGCUUACUGGACCGUAACUGACGUUGAGGCUCGAAAGCGUGGGGAGCAAACAGGAUUAGAUACCCCUGUAGUC